rnacentral:rRNA from 1 species
GAUGAACGCUGGCGGCGUGCCUAAUACAUGCAAGUCGAGCGAACAGAUGAGGAGCUUGCUCCUCUGACGUUAGCGGCGGACGGGUGAGUAACACGUGGAUAACCUACCUAUAAGACUGGGAUAACUUCGGGAAACCGGAGCUAAUACCAUAUAAUAUAUUGAACCGCAUUGUUCAAUAGUGAAAGACGGUUUUGCUGUCACUUAUAGAUGGAUCCGCGCCGCAUUAUCUAGUUGGGAAGGUAACGGCUUACCAAGGCAACGAGGCGUAGCCGACCUGAGGGGGUGAUCGGCCACACGGGAACUGAGACACGGUCCAGACGCCUACGGGAGGCAGCAGUAGGGAAUCUUCCGCAAUGGGCGAAAGCCUGACGGAGCAACGCCGCGUGAGUGAUGAAGGUCUUCGGAUCGUAAAACUCUGUUAUUAGGGAAGAACAAAUGUGUAAGUAACUAUGCACGUCUUGACGGUAACUAAUCAGAAAGCCACGGCUAACUACGUG